GAAAACUCCUCUAAUAUUAUUAUUCACUCGCUUUCCAUAAAUUUAAGUGCUUGAUCAUGGCAUUUCAUCAUGGUUAGCAUAAAAAUCUAAUGGUGCAGAUCCUUUAAUUGAAAUACACACACACACACAUAUAGAUAAAUUUCAUUCAAAAUCCCAUGCAUAAUUAACAGUUGACUAAGACCUUUUACCGUUUACCUUCUAUUUUUAAUCUUUAAAGGCUUUCAGUAAAUUUAAGCAGAGCAAAGAAC
rnacentral:misc_RNA from 1 species